UACGAAGGGGGCUAGCGUUGCUCGGAAUCACUGGGCGUAAAGGGUGCGUAGGCGGGUCUUUAAGUCAGGGGUGAAAUCCUGGAGCUCAACUCCAGAACUGCCUUUGAUACUGAGGAUCUUGAGUUCGGGAGAGGUGAGUGGAACUGCGAGUGUAGAGGUGAAAAUUCGUAGAUAUUCGCAAGAACACCAGUGGCGAAGGCGGCUCACUGGCCCGAUACUGACGCUGAGGCACGAAAGC
rnacentral:rRNA from 1 species